AGAACCUGGACACCGUGCGGGCUGUGUGGACCACGGGCGACAUCAAGGGCCACACUGUCCCCCACUGCCCCACCCCUGACGGUGCUCUGUUUGCACAGACGUCGGUGGACUCCGCUGUGGCCAUCAACGACCUGUCGGUGGUGGUGGACCUCCUGAACAUCGUCAACCAGAAAGCGUAAGUGGCUGCAGCGGGGGAGUGGGCGGAGGGGCAGGGCUGGGCUGAUGGCAGCAUGUCCUGGCCUCUCCUAGCUCCCUAUGGAAGCUGGACCUGUGCACCACGGUCCUGCCGCAGAUUGAGAAGCUUCUGCAGAGCAAGUAUGAGAGCUACGUCCAGACAGGCUGCACCUCCCUGAAGCUGAUCCUGCAGCGGUUUCUGCCCCUCAUCACAGACAUGCUGGCGGCCCCACCCUCUGUGGGUGUGGAUAUCAGCAGGGAGGAGAGGCUGCAUAAGUGCCGGCUCUGCUACAAGCAGCUUAAGAGCAUCAGCGGCCUGGUCAAGAGCAAGUCAGGCC
rnacentral:sRNA from 1 species